CUUUCUCAAAAACGAAUCAGCCAGGAUACUGAUUGUACUUGCUUUUCUAAAGCACGAUGGAUCAGUUGAAGAUAUGACACUCGGGCUGAAUUAUGCUUCUGUAAGUGCUGGUGCAUUUAAGCGAAUCUGAACUGGGUCAGCAAGGAAUAGACACCUUUCAGUAGUUCAUAUUAACCCUAGGAGAGGAACAAGCAAAUGCAAUCAUCUCAAAGUCGUUCUUUUAUGUCUCAAUGGAAGGUAGCAAUCCAGGACAUCAGGCUUUUUGCUGCAAUAAAUCGUGGUAUCACUCAAUUUGGUUGACAAGAUGAAAUUGAACUCAAUUUAUGAAAACAAUGUGUUUUGGGAAUCUUUAUAAGAUGGUGGAAAGAAUUUCAUCUCCAAUAGACAAAGAAGUUAUCGGUUUUGAGGAAAUAUGCCAAGGAGUACUUGAGCUCGGACGAGGCCAGAAGUUUAUUGAACUGGAAAAGAUAUGAUCCUAAUUUUGCCUUCAUGAUUUGUUUUUUGUUAUUUUGCAAAAGAAACCGGAGUCUUUUACUCUUUAAGAUAGUUCCACUAGAUGCACUAGACAAGAAGCUUGAGUCUUCUACUCCUUUAAGGUUUCAACAUUUACAGCUGCCUCAUAAAAAGAUAGGGUGUCUGUGUACAACCUACAGGUAGUUGACAUGUUAUAUGCAAAAAGAAGCAAUGGCUUGUGGUACUUAUAGUUUUUUUUGUUUGUUUAAUGCAGAUGGUAAUAGGUGAAGCCUCUAACGGUGCACAUACAACUGUUUCUUCACCACAAAUUAGUGAAGUUUGCUGAUACUCCUGCAGUCCUGCACAGGAAAAUAUGGAGCUGCUCAAGCACUCUAUGAACAACCGCAUAGGCUGACUAUUUCCAGAAAAUUGUCUGAAAACACGUGGUUUGAGUUUAUGCUCUCUAUCAUGACCCACUAGCGUUUUGUUUCUCGACCUCCGCAGGAAUCUUAUAUCAAACAGUUUCAAAGGAACCGUUCGAACAGCAAGAUAUCCCGUCCUAUACCUUUUUCAGUUGGUGACUUGGACAUCUCCUUACACUUGCUAGGAAUUCAAGCAAGAACCGUUUAGCUGAAGAGAUUCCAUCAGAGUUUGGCAAUCUUAGGAGCAUCCUGGAGAUGUAAGAAAGAUUUGCUCCUUUAUUUGUUAGUUCCUAGAUUAAAAUUAUACAAUUUUACUCUUUUCCAAUCCUAGAGACCUUUGGUCUAAUCCCUCGAGAACUUUGUCAGCUAAGAAUUUUUAUACAUUGAAAGACUGAAAGUAGAAUACAACAAUUCAACGGAGAUGUGACAUUAAUAUCUUGGCCUGGUUCACACAACAUAGGCAGACCAAGCACUUUGGAAAUACUAAUAGAAACUUAAAUCCUUCCUCUAUAAUGCAGCAACGUAUCUUUCAAUAAUCUCUUCGGUGAUAUCCCACUGGUAACAACUUCUCAAGGUUUCUUGUCGGAAGGAAAUCCCAGUCUUUGUGGUUUUUGGCUUGGUUCUCCAUGCCAGACAUCUCAUUCACCAGGGAGAUCUCUAGUCUACAAAAACACCGUCUUAGAUAUUACAUUGGGUGCCCUUGUUUUCCUUCUCAUGAUCUUAGUAGCAGCGUUUUGACCACACAAUUCAAAACAUUUUGCAGAAGGAUCGUGGAAAAACCAGGAAUUAUUGCUCCAAUUUCCUUGGUGAACUCUAGAUUGCUGGUGGUUCCUGAAGAUUGGGCAAAGGUUAGAGGUCAGGGCCAAGCCUAACUAAAAAGCAGAAAAGAAGAGAUCCGACGGUACCUCGUUCAAAAUCUAGGGGCUUGUGUUGCCUUUAGAUAGUUUGGUGGGUCAUUGUUGGUGUAGGUGUGAAUAAUCCACAGAUCCAGGUGGAGCAAUCCUAGGUAGUAAGACAUCGACAACAGAUAAAGAGUGAAGCACCAAAUCAUCCUACCCGGCCUUGGCGCGAGAAAAGAGGCACCAAGGAAACCCGUGAAGACAACGCGUGUAAAGAUCGGAAGUGACUGAAGAUAUAGCCAUCGAGUACAAGAGCAAUAAAUGCACUGGCGAAGUAGUUGAGAGGAUAAGGAGAAUCUGGUCAAAGUAAGACUCGGCUAAGAACAUCAAGGGCGACAUCGUCUACACUUGCUAAGCAAUCGAUAUCGGAUGGAUGAACAUCGGGAGAAGACACCACUAGGUUCGGCCCUACAUCUUGGAUGAGACAUCACCAGCCACCCGAGAAGGACAUCAAGAAAGAUAUACCGCGACACACACUGUAACUUGGAUGUAUCAUCAUUUGUAGCUAUAAAUAGAGAGUCAUGUAGAGAGCUGGAGGGCAAGUAAUCAAUGAGGGAAGAGAGAAUACUAAGAGUUGGUAGUGAGAAAAGAGAGCUUGCUAGUGAUUCACAUCCCGUGUAACCUUGAAAUCAAGUAAUAAUAUCAUCCUUUCACCCCGUGAACGUAGGUAAUCAUACCGAACCACGUA